rnacentral:rRNA from 1 species
GACGAGGGGUCCAAGCGUUGUUCGGAAUCAUUGGGCGUAAAGCGGGUGUAGGUGGCUCUAUAAGUCAGAAGUGAAAGCCCCGGGCUUAACCCGGGAAGUGCUUUUGAUACUGCAGAGCUUGAAUGUGGGAGAGGGUAGUGGAAUUCCGAGGUGUAGUGGUGAAAUACGUAGAUAUCUGGAGGAACACCGGUGGCGAAGGCGGCUACCUGGCCCAACAUUGACACUGAGACCCGAAAGCGUGGGGAGCAAACAGG